rnacentral:rRNA from 1 species
AGUGAACGCUGGCGGUAGGCCUAACACAUGCCAGUCGAACGGCAGCACAGUAAGAGCUUGCUCUUACGGGUGGCGAGUGGCGGACGGGUGAGGAAUACAUCGGAAUCUACUUUUUCGUGGGGGAUAACGUAGGGAAACUUACUCUAAUACCGCAUACGACCUACGGGUGAAAGCAGGGGAUCUUCUGACCUUGCGCGAUUGAAUGAGCCGAUGUCGGAUUAGCUAGUUGGCGGGGUAAAGGCCCACCAAGGCGACGAUCCGUAGCUGGUCUGAGAGGAUGAUCAGCCACACUGGAACUGAGACACGGUCCAGACUCCUACGGGAGGCAGCAGUGGGGAAUAUUGGACAAUGGGCGAAAGCCUGAUCCAGCCAUACCGCGUGGGUGCAGAAGGCCUUCGGGUUGUAAAGCCCUGUUGUUGGGAAAGAAAAGCAGCAGGUUAACACCCCGCUGUUCUGACGGUACCCAAAGAAUAAGCACCGGCUAACUUCGUG